CUGCCUGUGGUUCUAGAUGAAGCUUUCUGCUACUGCUCAAGUUCUUUGGUUCCAUAGCAACAGCAGCAGCAGCAGCAACAGCAGCAGCAGCAACAGCAGCAGCAGCAGCAACAGCAGCAGCAGCAACAGCAGCAG
ensembl:miRNA Gm44345 predicted gene, 44345